AAAAAACUAGGCGCGAGCAACGAAAAUAACGGUUUACUCUGUUUGCACUUUGCAGCAUGUCACCAAACAUGUAUGCACUUUUUUUGAAGAAGGGACAUCAGAAAUUGUUCCAGUGGAAAAUAUUGAAGAGUUUGAUGGGACGUGCGACAAUUUGAAAGAAUGUAUUGUUCAUUGGCAGCGUAUGGGGAAGAGAUAUCCCACCUAUGUCAUGGCUCUGGAUGGGCCAUCCUUCCCCCCGUGUCAUCAGUGGCCAGCCAGUGUACACGGUGGAACUGGCAGAGGGUGUUAAACUCCAGGCGAACAUUAACACUCGACUGAGCAAAAAAACAUCAAAGUGCAUUUCUGAGCUCAUGACAGCUCUGUUUCCCAGAGAGGUGAUGGCCGUCUCUUCGUUGACAGGAAAAAAUUCUAAUGCAUUCCGGGACCAGGAGGCAAAGAAACAGCUGUGCCCAACCAAAGUGUCUGCCAUUUGCACCUUUUUAAUUAGGCAACACCAGAUGAAGGAGUAGGAUGUCUUAAAAAUAAUUUGAUUGAAGCUUAACAAUGAGUUUAAAUUGCUUAAGAAGUCCAAGAUUUGGGUUUAAAACUGUUUUUUACUGAAAGGGAGUAACUUGGAGUCUAAGGCCUUAUUUUGUGAAUUGUUAACUCAGUGAAAAAGUAUGAAAAUUGAUAAUUUUUCAAAUAUGAGGUCCUACUAUGUCAACUUCUUAUUGUACAUUGAACAAAAAAACACAAGUCUACUGUAGUUAUUGCUGUAAGAUUGCUAUAAUAUUACCAUAAGAUCUUCAGUUGAAGUCGGAAGUUUACAAACCCCUUAGCCAAAUACAUUUAAACUCAGUUGUAUAUAAUUCCAGACUUUGUCACGUCCUGACCAUGGUAAGCUGUUAUUUUCUAUGGUAGAGUUGGUCAGGGUGUGAUGGGGGGUUUAUUCUAUGUGUUCUAUUUCUAUGUUCUUAGGUUCUAGUUUUUCUAUUUCUAUGUUGGUUUGUUUGGGAUGAUCUCCAAUUAGAGUCAGCUGGUCCUCGUUGUCUCUAAUUUGAGAUCAUACUUAAGUAGGGGUUUGUCUUCCUGGGUUUUGUGGGUGAUUAUUUUUGAGUAGUGUUUGUUUCUCCUCUGCGUCACGGUUUGUUGUUUUGUCUAUUCAGUUAUUUGAUGUAUUGCAUAGUUUCACAGAGUAAAUAAAAUGUGGAUCUACACACACGCUGCACCUUGGUCCAUUUCUCCUUGUG
rnacentral:lncRNA from 1 species